GACGAACGCUGGCGGCGUGCCUAACACAUGCAAGUCGAGCGGGAACCUCAGGAGGGGUAACCCUUCUGAGGGGAGAGCGGCGAACGGGUGAGUAACACGUGGGCAACCUGCCCCGGACACCGGGAUAACCCAGGGAAACCUGAGCUAAUACCGGAUACUCCGGCGCGAUCGCAUGGUCGUGCCGGGAAAGCUCCGACGGUCCGGGAUGGGCCCGCGGCCUAUCAGCUUGUUGGUGGGGUAACGCCCACCAAGGCGACGACGGGUAGCUGGUCUGAGAGGACGGCCAGCCACACUGGGGACUGAGACACGGCCCAGACUCCUACGGGAGGCAGCAGUGGGGGAUCUUGCGCUAAUGCGCGAAAGCGUGACGCAGCGACGCCGCGUGGGGGAUGAAGGCC
rnacentral:rRNA from 1 species